GCUGGAAAAUCAUAAAUUUCAAUACAAAAGUUAAGAUGAUGAACAGUCACCACGAUUUGAGGAAUUUGCCUCGUAUAAUAAGGCCUCAACAGAGAAUGCCUACUUAUUCCAAAUGUGCCACUAGAAGUUUCUAUCAACAUUUACAAAUUAAAAACCAUGAGUUACUGACCAUCUGCCGUCCUCUGCCCGUUANNNNNNNNNNUCAGUUGCAUAUUUUCACUUGGCAAGCUGUAUGAGGGAAUUUAUGGCCUCAAAUCCCAUGCAUACAUCAUCUUUAGGACUUUGGAUUGGGAGCCACCAGAGACACAGGCGGACUGUAAGCCACUAGACGCACGUCAAAUAAUUGUAGUAGAUCAUGCAGGUAUCAAUGAUUUUUUUGAGUGCACCAUGAGACCAAAUUAAAGAAUCACCUAACUCACCCACAUCCCUCUCUUGAAGUGUACCAGAGCAAGAAACUGCAAGAUUCAUCACACUGCUACCUUCUCUGAACACUCCUGUGAUGAGUUCUGUUUUUUCCUUCUCUCUAUAUAUUGUUUGAUGAGUGACUUGGGCCUCUCAAAACCAUCUUUCUGUUGCUGAGGCCUUGGUUUCCCUGCCUUCCUUGAUUCUGGUUUCCAGCGAGCUUGGAUGAGUGAUUGACCCAGUAAAUCAGCAAUUUCCGUUGCCAUUGUCUCAGCUUUCUUAACGUAUGGAAAAGUUUCCUCUUUAAAUUGAUGAGACAACCACAGAUACGUGGAAAGAACUUGAUGUUUAGUUUCGAGAUCUAGAAGCUCUGAGUCAUUCUGAGCAGAUCCCUUUGGCAUGCCCAUUGCUAUACCAACAGGGACCUUCUGAC
rnacentral:misc_RNA from 1 species